ACGACCUUACUUGAACAGGAUCUGUUCUAUAGGAUCGUACCUCUGUAUCCUUGAUUUCUAAGGAGACAGAAACCUCAACCUGGUGGAUGAAACAUGACCGUGCGAUCAGAGCGUGAUUAAUAGCUUGUGGUUCUCCGGUUCCAACAAGCGGUAGAUGAUCGUUCUCAGCCAGUUUCACUGUCUGGGAUGGUCGCACGGUUGUCUGACAGGUU